CCUACGGGAGGCUGCAGUGGGGAAUAUUGGACAAUGGGCGAAAGCCUGAUCCAGCCAUGCCGCGUGUGUGAAGAAGGCCUUCGGGUUGUAAAGCACUUUCAGUGGGGAAGAAAGCCUUGGGGCUAAUACCCUCGAGGAAGGACAUCACCCACAGAAGAAGCACCGGCUAACUCCGUGCCAGCAGCCGCGGUAAUACGGAGGGUGCGAGCGUUAAUCGGAAUUACUGGGCGUAAAGCGCGCGUAGGCGGUCUGAUAAGCCGGUUGUGAAAGCCCCGGGCUCAACCUGGGAACGGCAUCCGGAACUGGCAGGCUAGAGUGCAGGAGAGGAAGGUAGAAUUCCCGGUGUAGCGGUGAAAUGCGUAGAGAUCGGGAGGAAUACCAGUGGCGAAGGCGGCCUUCUGGACUGACACUGACGCUGAGGUGCGAAAGCGUGGGUAGCAAACAGGAUUAGAUACCCGAGUAGUC
rnacentral:rRNA from 1 species